rnacentral:rRNA from 1 species
UACGGGAGGCAGCAGUGAGGGAUAUUGGACAAUGGGCGCAAGCCUGAUCCAGCCAUGCCGCGUGCAGGAUGACGGUCCUAUGGAUUGUAAACUGCUUUUAUACGAGAAGAAACAACAUUACGUGUAAUGUCUUGACGGUAUCGUAAGAAUAAGGAUCGGCUAACUCCGUGCCAGCAGCCGCGGUAAUACGGAGGAUCCAAGCGUUAUCCGGAAUCAUUGGGUUUAAAGGGUCCGUAGGCGGUUUAGUAAGUCAGUGGUGAAAGCCCAUCGCUCAACGGUGGAACGGCCAUUGAUACUGCUGAACUUGAAUUAUUAGGAAGUAACUAGAAUAUGUAGUGUAGCGGUGAAAUGCUUAGAGAUUACAUGGAAUACCAAUUGCGAAGGCAGGUUACUACUAAUGGAUUGACGCUGAUGGACGAAAGCGUGGGUAGCGAACAGGAUUAGAUACCCUGGUAGUCCACGCCGUAAACGAUGGAUACUAGCUGUUGGGAGCAAUCUCAGUGGCUAAGCGAAAGUGAUAAGUAUCCCACCUGGGGAGUACGUUCGCAAGAAUGAAACUCAAA